rnacentral:misc_RNA from 1 species
AGUCCUCUAAGCCUAGCUUAACGUUGGGAAUCUACCGUGCGUUGGUGGUUACUACCCUGUAGCCCCUACCCUGUAGUUCCUCAAAAUCAACGGCGGGUUCGUGGUAACCUCUGAGCGUAGUAAUUUAUUCUCGCUUCUGAAGUGCCGCGGCCCUAGCCGCUAAACCCCCAAAUUUUCUUG